ensembl:snoRNA small nucleolar RNA SNORD60
AGCCAAUGAUGACAAGCUAAACUAAACUUUUCUGACACCUACUAUGAGAGCUGUGCUGCAGCUCCUGAUUCUAAUGUUCACACUGAGGCUU